rnacentral:rRNA from 1 species
CCUACGGGGCGCAGCAGUCAGGAAUAUUGCGCAAUGGGGGAAACCCUGACGCAGCGACGCCGCGUGGGUGAUGAAGGCCUUCGGGUCGUAAAGCCCUGUCGGGAGGGAAGAAAAGUGCGCCGACGAAUAAUCGGCGCGCCUUGACGGUACCUCCAAAGGAAGCACCGGCUAACUCCGUGCCA